UUGUGCACAUGCGUGCACAUCACUCAACAUAAAUAGUGCCUCAUGCAAGUCCUCUCAGUGCAGCAAGGGCGCUUGACAAGAACCUUUUGCAUAUGCACACCAUACUGUGCGUACACAGCAUGCUAGGGGACAUGUCCUGACGCUCUUGGAUGCCUGGAAAGUGUCCUGUAUGCACCAUCCCGCAUGGUCGCCCGUGUCUACCCCAUUAGCCAACACGUUGGUUCCUGGGAAAUGCAAAUAGAGGCAUCGAGCCUCUGUUUGCUGAUUGUUUCCAUUUUUCCUUUCAUUUCAGCAUUUUAAUCCAUCUACAUAAUGUUAUAGAUCAUUCUAGUAAUCACAUUCCAUCAAAAUCAUCAUUAAAAACAAGGUUAAAUCAUCAAAAUCAUGCAUGCAACAUACACACCCUCUGCAUCAAUUAAAACAAUAAGAAUACAUGCAUUGUUUGAAGAUUUAAUCACCCUACAUGCAUCUAUAAAACCAAAUCCAGUUAAAAACUAACUACCACCAAUCUUAAUAUAAAGAAGAAGGUCUAAGCACUCCAAACACACGAGGAAAUUGACCUAAAAGCAAGAAGAACAGCUAGCAACACACUUGUGCGACGGUGGCCGCACUAGUCGGGUUUUUGAGUUUAAUCCACAAUUUUUAGGUUGUUUUACCAUAUCAAUUCAGUUUAAAUUCAAGUUAGAACCUAAAUAAACUAAUCUAAAGCUGCAAAACAAAUAAAUAACCGAAAGGAAAAAAUAAGGAAGAAUAACAUACUUACUUGAACAGUCCUGAUUGAUACUGUUAUGGUUGCAGAAUGAGCUUCAAUCAAAACUGGAAGAAAGAUUUUUGUGUUUGGGUGAAAAAGGAAUGAGCAAAUUAAUGGAAGAAAGAGCUAAUCUACUUGAAACAGAAGUAGAUGCUUAUCUGAGAAGAUAAGAAACCAUCUUCUCGUCUAGAUAGCACGCGUAAUUUUCUGCACUCUUCUUCUCUCAAUUUUUACUCUCUUUCUCUCACUAGAUUCUCUCUAAAUUUGACUCUCUCUCUGGUUUUCUAUUUGCUCGAAAAAAUGAAGAACUAGAGAAGAAAGUGGAAAGGAGGCAUCAUUUUAUACCCCAUGUUGCGGCAUCCUUAGCCCUCUAAUGACAUGCAAUGCAUUUGGGCCAUUAG
rnacentral:lncRNA from 1 species